UCAUGGUUGAAGAAAGUUGAACAGAUGCUGAAGCAACAAGGCAGCUCCAGAUCACCAAUUUGUGUUGGUGAUGGUGUGAAGGCAAACUGUUGGUCUGGAAAGCAGCGUCGUAGGGCAGGCGGGCAGCGCGGUCGAGCCGACCUUCUGCAGCGGCUGGGUGGGAGGGCAGGAGGAAACCCUGCGCCCCUGCCCAGGCCUGCCGAGAGGCCAUCUGGACCGGGGAAACACAUGCAGAGUACCUGGCCAGACCUGGAGCUCAACUCUGACUCACGAUCUCACACACACUCACACUUAUGCACGACACGUCGACAUGCAUGCAUGCACAAUUAGACCCACGCACGUUUUAUUUUGGACGCUCGAGCAAACACUCCUGCACACAGAAUCAUUAGCAUUAAAGCUGUGCUGUCACAUACUUGCUGCUGCAGAAGUGAUAAAUGUAUGCAUAUGAACAUUUAUGGCGCACAAAAUGUUUUUUUUAAAUUUUACGGUAUACUGUAUGUAGUAGGAUCAAGACUAUAUCCAGCUUGAAACUCCCACUCAAACCCACACACUCUUCCCACAGAGGCACUCGUCAGUCUGUGGUGAUGUUAACGUUAAGCCCCUCCGAUUCAGACCGCCAAUGAGACUUUUACAUUUGGUUAAAACAGUUUCUGCCUGUGUUGCUUUGGAGAGUGCUACAUUUGGUUAAAAGCCAUUAUUAUGGUAAUGUGAGGGUGCUUGAGAUAAUAGCAAGAUGAGAGCAGCUCGACUGCCUCUGACAUAACAACCCUACUCUAUCUCUUCAGCUUCUUCUCUCUCUAUAUAUAUUGUAUUCUGCCCAUCCUCCCUUUCUCUAUACUUCUCUCUCCCUGACUCACCUCUAUUACUUAUUGCAAAGCGUUUUAUUUAUUUAUUUAUUUAUUUAUUUAUUUAUUUAUUUUUUACCCGCUUCCCGUAAAGCUAUUUAGUCAUUAAAAGGAAACAUUACCAUGUGAGAGCUUUUGCUGUGGACACGUUUCGAUUAUAUUUAAAAUACUUCCUUCCUAUACAUUUUAACUAUUGUUGAAAAUUGGGACAUCUGGCUGUAGUCUGUUGCUACUGAGCACUGCUUGGACUUGUCCACACAACAAAGUAAACCCCUUUAUUCUGCUGACUCCAAACAAAAUGCACAAUCUAAUCUACUGUCUGAAAAUGAAAUGACCAUGGCACAAAUUAUGGCUGUCCACCUGAAAUGACAAGCAGCCAAAAACGACGCUACA